rnacentral:rRNA from 1 species
AGUGAACGCUGGCGGUGGGCCUAACACAUGCAAGUCGAACGGCAACACAGUAAGAGCUUGCUCCUACGGGUGGCGGGUGACGGACGGGUGAGGAAUACAUCGGCAUCUACUAUUUCGUGGGGGAUAACGUAGGGAAACUUACGCUAAUACCGCAUACGUCCUACGGCUGAAAGCAGGAGAUCUUCGGACCUUGCGCGACUGAAUGAGACGAUGUCGCAUUAGCUAGUUGGCGGGGUAAAGGCACACCAAGGCAACGAUCCGUAGCUGGCCUGAGAGGAUGAUCAGCCACACUGGAACUGAGACACGGUCCAGACUCCUACGGGAGGCAGCAGUAGGGAAUAUUGGACAAUGGGCGCAAGCCUGACCCAGCAAUGCCGCGUGGGUGAAGAAGGCCUUCGGGUUGUAAAGCCCUUUUGUUGGGAAAGAAAAGCAGCAGGUUAAUACCCCGAUGUUCUGACGGUACCUAAAGAGUAAGCACCGGCUAACUUCGUG